GGAAAGCCUUAAGGAAAAUGAUAGGGGGUGGUGUUGGGAGGGCAAGCAUGUAUGUGAGUCAGGGGGAUGAAAACAUACUGAGAAGAAAGAAUGUGUUACAGUGUGUGUCUGACUGGAGUUAGGAGUGGCAUAAGAUUUACAGAGGGAGACAAAAGACAUUUUGCACUGGGAGUGAAUAAUCUAAAUGUACUUCAAAUUGUAGUUUUAGGUGUUCAUUUGAAAGUUCAGAAGUCUGAAGUGAUAAAUAAUGAAGAAUUCACUCCAAAGGAAAAGAAGCUCCAGCUCAGCUUUAACUACAGCUAACAUACAUCCACAUGCUGCUCAAAUCAACACCAGGCCAGUGUGUUUGUCUCAGAUGAGCAGUGUUUUCAAUAGUGUGCCACAACUAUUCGGAACAGCACAAGCUUUCCUACUGAGACUAGCACAACUUGAAGCUCAGUUGGUUUUGAACCUGAUUAGUAAUGUUGCAGCUUUAAAUAAUAGCAGUUAUGGGAACCCCCUUGUUCCUUUAAAUCUCUUACAGCCUGUUGGCAUUCAAAGAUCCUCAUUUUUGAGCAUGUACCAGCAACCCGGGGGGGUUAAAAACAUGGGUUCCAUACCUCACAUGGUUAGCAACCCCUCAACAUCUGUCACAGACAUUAAUUCACUCAUUUCCUAUAAGGAGAGUGGUGCCCUUCUAGCAAAAGAGAUCAUUCAGGAGAAAACACUAGGUCCCUUCAUGAAUAACACAACAUUGUCACUGCCAGCAUCUGAGGAAGCUCUUGUUAGAUCCAGUCACAACCAUCUUGGCAAACAUUUCACCUUCAAACCAGACGUGGACUGUCCUCGAUAUCAGUCAGUGAUAGCCAAAGCAAUGAUGCCUCCUGAUAGACCACAAACCAAAGAAGCAGAGCCAAAGAAACAAAAAAUACUGCAUCUUCCAACAGACAACUUGAACAAAGCUUUGAGCAGCCUUGGUCUUUCUCUUGAGGAUCUAGAAUUACUCAGUCAUUGCCCAGACAACCAGUUAACAACAGAGAAUCUCCCCUUCAUUAUACAAAACAUUCAGCAGCGCAAAGGAACAAAGAAUGUUAAAUAUGGCCAUGCUACAUGGAACUCAUCUGAUCAAGUGGAAUCAUCCAGAGAGUCACCAUACGCUCACGGGGAACAGAGGAAUCAAAAGAUUAUUAAUGGUGCAUGGCAAGAAUCCCAUUCCCAUAGAUCCCUCAGCCCUGAAAGAUCCCGCCCAUCUGAACUCAUUCAUGAGCACUUCUCAACCCAGUCUAAAACACUGAAAAGAAUAAGACAUGCAUCAGGAAGAGGCUCAAAUUCCUUCCUAAAGAGGCUGCAACAUGGGCCUGCUGAGGUCACCAAGUGGAGGCCUGGUUCAGUCUAUGUUCCCCCUCACUCAAAAUGUAGCAUGAGAUCUACCACUUACAAUGGCUUGAAAAAAGGUUAUCAAAAGUCUUCAUUUCCAGUAAAAUCUGCAAAAUCAGAAGUAACCACUGAAUCCAUGAACAUUCAGAUACCAGUAACUAAGACGACUGCAAAAACAUCAGCACAAACUAAGGGUGUGAUUCGUGUGUCUGGAAUCCCUCUUGAUUACUCUGAGAGUGAACUCAUCAAAAUGGCAUCUCCCUUUGGUCACCCUGUUGAGGUUUUAAUGGCAACUGAUGUUGACACGACAACCUGUCUACAGUGGAAGAAGGCUUUACUGAUGUUUCCAACUGAAUUCUCAGCCCAGGAGAUGGUGAAGGUUUACUCUGCUAUCCCAGUUCACAUGAGGCAGCAAAGUUUAGAGUUGGUGUCUCGAACUGUUGAUUUUAAUUCACCUGUGUCAGUGUUUCAUGCCUUUGUGGGACCAUCAUUGUCAAAUGCAAGUAUUACUUUUCAGACUUAAAUAUUCAAUCUUUAAAAAAAUAAUAAUAAUAAAUAACGAGACAAACAUUUUCAUAAGAUUUGUCAAACUACCAUACAUUCUUUAUACCUCCUUACAAGAAGUCCCACUAUCUUUUAGGGGCUGCUAACACCUUUGGACCAUUUGCUGGUUGUAUGUAAUGUUCCCAAUCAGCCCUGUGCUGUUACAGGAGUGCUACGGCUACUAAAGCCUUUUGGACAAGUUUUCAGAACUCUGGUACUUCAUGGAAACAAGGUGGAUGUAGAUCAGUGCCUUGGGAACAAUAGCAGCAUCCAGAUGGUUUUAGAGAUGGAAUCCUCUUCUGUUGCUUUAUCUGUGUAUGAGUGGUCUCAAAAAAUUCCUUGUCUUUAUCACAACCAUCAUCUCUCUUUCCUCAGAGGAUGUAAUAUACAGAAAAAUACAUCUUCGGUCUAAUAUCCUCACAGUUUUGUCCCCUUAAAUAUUGUAUAUUUUAUUAUCUUUGUUAUAAAAUACAAUGAAACAAGGUCAUAAGAAGUAUUAUUGUUUGUAUUUCUCCUUUUAUGAAGUUGUAUAUUUAUCAAGCAGUAGAAGUAGCAUUAAAAAUAGUAAUCCUAACUACAGUCACUACAAUACCCAUAGUCAUGGAAAUCCUGGAAAUAUCAGGGAAUUUUAAAAGUCAUGAAAAAAUUUAAAAUGUCAUGAAAUAUUUAAUCCAGUAAUCACAAUCAGCUGGAAAGGUCAUGGAAUGCAUAAGUCAGAAAUAGUAAGAACCUGUAAAUUAUAUUAAAUGAUUAAUUUACAUAUGGUUGUAUGAUUUUAAUUGUUGGAAAUGUUGGAAGUUCACAUAUAGUGACAAACCCAAUCACAGUUUUAAAGAGUUAAUUCACCCAGAAAAAUAAAUUUCCCCAUACAGUGAAAGCAUUAGUAACCAGGGGCCAUCAAGCUUCAAAAGGGAUAAAAUAGCACUGUAUGUAGGUUUGAUGUCAUUGAUAUCAUGCACCAAGUUUAAAAAUAUCUAUGUACAUAUGCAAGUAAGAUUUGAGAGCUGUGCAAGAGGGGAUAUUUUCACUACUAUAAAACACACCAGUGUACUUCACUAGGCCUUAAAGGGAUAGUUCACCCAAAAAUAUUAUAAUAUUAUAUUGUCAAAUUUCAUCAAUGUUGCUCAUGUACACAUGCAACCUGUGACGUAGCAUUUUGCUGUUUAUCAUGUAUCAUUUCAUACUUUAUUGUUUCACAUAUUGAAAUUAACAGUCAACAUACCUACAGCCUACUGUGUAGUAGUCAGCAUGGAGUUAUAAAUUAAAUAAAUACAUUUAUGCAUUUAGCAGACGCUUUUAUCCAAAGCGACUUACAGUGCAUUCAGGCUAUCAAUUUUUACCUAUCAUUAUGUUUGUUUACAACAUCUGGGUCAUUGUUCUCAACCUUAAAAUGCUGUAUAUGAGUGUCUUUGUACUGAUUUGUUUUUUUAAUCACCUAGAUUGUUCUGUAUUAAACAUUUGAGUGGGUUAUAUCAGAUCCAAAUCUGGGUUAAUGACACUAUUGAAUAAGAGGUUACAUCUCAUGAUCCUUUAUCCAAACUAAGCGACUUGCAGCGUGUCUGUCCAUGCGUUCACUGGAAAUCAAACGACCAUUUCUACUUACAUUUGAUUUUUUUUUCAGUGCUAGUGGAUUUCCUGUCCGAGCCACCUUCAAGCACAAGCAAAGAGAUGUUUUUUGAAUAAAACCAAGUAUUUUUCCAG
ensembl:lncRNA